rnacentral:misc_RNA from 1 species
AAGUCGUAACAAGGUUUCCGUAGGUGAACCUGCGGAAGGAUCAUUAUAGAAAACCUGGUAGAGGGCUGUCGCUGGCCUUUCGAGGCAUGUGCACGUCCUCGACCAACACAUCCAUCUCACCCUUUGUGCACCUUUGCGUGGGCCUCUAGAAGGGUUCUUGUCGACCCUCUUGGGGCUUGCGUUUUUCUAUACACACCAAAAGAAUGUUUUAUGCAUGUCUUGUACCAUAAAAGGUACCUUGUACAACUUUCAACAACGGAUCUCUUGGCUCUC